GUAGUAGACAAAACGAUCGCGGAAUCAUUUUAAAUGAUUCGGAGGAAAGUCCGAACACCACAGGGCAGGGUGCUCCAUAACGUGGAGUCACGGCAACGUGAAGGAAAGUGCAACAGAAAGAAUACCGCCUGGCAGAAAUGCCCGGUAAGGGUGAAAAGGUGCGGUAAGAGCGCACCAGUUUCCCGGGUGACCGGGGAAGCUUUGUAAACCCCACCUGGUGCAAGACCAAAUAGGGGAACGUUUAAGGCUGCUCGUCUGAGUUCCCGGGUAGGUUGCGUGAGGUGUCGGGCAACCGGCACCCUAGAUGAAUGAUCGUUAUCCUGUUUCGGGUAACCGGUACAGGACACAGAAUUCGGCUUACUGGCUACUUUAGCC
rnacentral:RNase_P_RNA from 1 species